rnacentral:rRNA from 1 species
AAUCUUCCGCAAUGGACGAAAGUCUGACGGAGCAACGCCGCGUGAGGUAUGAAGGUUUUCGUAUCGAAAAACUCUGUUGUUAGGGAAGAACAAGUAUCGGAGUCACUGCCGGUACCUUGACGGUACCUUACGAGAAAGCAACGGCUAACGACUUUCCAGCAGCCCCGGUAAUACGUUGGUGGCAAGAGUUGUCCGGAUUUAUUGGGCGUAAAGCGCGCGCAGGCGGUCUUUUAAGUAUGAUGUGAAAUAUUACAGUUUAAAUGUAAGCGAUUAGUGGAAACUGGGAGACUUGAGUGCAGAAGAGGAGAGUGGAAUUCCAUGAGUAGCGGUGAAAUGCGUAGAGAUAUGGAGGAACACCAGUGGCGAAGGCGACUCUUUAGUCUGUAACUGACGCUGAGGCGCGAAAGCGUGGGGAUCAAACA